AGUGAACGCUGGCGGUAGGCCUAACACAUGCAAGUCGAACGGCAGCACAGUAAGCGCUUGCUCUUACGGGUGGCGAGUGGCGGACGGGUGAGGAAUACAUCGGAAUCUACUUUUUCGUGGGGGAUAACGUAGGGAAACUUACGCUAAUACCGCAUACGACCUACGGGUGAAAGCAGGUGAUCUUCGGACCUUGCGCGAUUGACUGAGCCGAUGUCGGAUUAGCUAGUUGGCGGGGUAAAGGCCCACCAAGGCGACGAUCCGUACCUGGUCUGAGAGGAUGAUCAGCCACACUGGAACUGAGACACGGUCCAGACUCCUACGGGAGGCAGCAGUGGGGAAUAUUGGACAAUGGGCGAAAGCCUGAUCCAGCCAUACCGCGUGGGUGAAGAAGGCCUUCGGGUUGUAAAGCCCUUUUGUUGGGAAAGAAAAGCAGCAGGUUAAUACCCCGCUGUUCUGACGGUACCCAAAGAAUAAGCACCGGCUAACUUCGUG
rnacentral:rRNA from 1 species